ensembl:lncRNA ZNF606-AS1 ZNF606 antisense RNA 1
AGGUUCCUGGGCCGCGCCGCCUCGCCCUGCCUGGGCGGGGUUGGGACCUUUCUGGCACCUGCGUCGAAGCCGGCGGCAGGAUGGACUUUGUUGUCCCGGUCCCAGACCACCCUCCUCCACCGUCGCCUCCCACUGCAAAAAGGCCUGGGUAAGUCGCGGCCCCGCGGGCCUCGGUUUGCCCAUCCGCAAAAUGGCGCCUCGUGGUACCGGGUUUCCCGGGAGGAGCUCGGCGAGUUCUCAGCGCUCUCGAGGGAUCCUUCCAUUUGGCGUUCGCAAGAUUGUGAGAAAGUGACUGCUGUUAUUCUCUUUAAGAUAAGGAACCUAAUUCGAGCUACCCUUCUCUGUGAAGCUCGACGGCUGAGAACGUCAGGGCUCGUUCCCAAGUCUCUUUCCAGAGGCCAGGCUUUAUGGGAGCAUGGGUUACCAGCGACGCACCCUGAUCAAGCAGAGAAAGAGAGGCUGGAGAAGGAAGAGUGACAGAAGUAAGAAGAGAGUGUCUCUCCACUUCCACUCCAGCCCCCUACAGCUCAUCCUCCAGCAGGCAGCCAAGGGCACUUUUAGGAUCUCACAUCAGGUCCUUGCCUCACAUUCUGCACUGGCUUCCCAAGUAAUUAAAGUAAAAUCCAAAUUCCAGCUCACAGCUUAGAAAACUCAGCAGGACUGGCCUCUGUCCUAUCCCACACCCCACCUCAGUCCCUCAAGCUCAUCUCCUGUCAUUCCUGCCCAUUUCUGGACCCCAGCCACUCCUCAAACAGGGUGAGGAUGCAGUGUCCAAGGCACCAUCUUGAACUCAUCAUCGCCAAAUAUGUGAGCACCUUGAUGUUGGACUUCCCAACCUCCAGACCGUAAGGCAGUACAUUUCUUUGUAAAUUACGCAGUCUCAGCUAUUCUGUUACAGCAGCACAAAUGGACUAAGACAACCCCCGAGAUAGGAAGGGGUAAGGUAAAUGCAAUGAGAGUUGGGGUUUUCGAUCUUAGUCCAGUAAAGGAGCUGGAACUGUUCUGUAUAAACAAAGGGCAAGGUAAUUGCUACAUAGAUUCUUUUCUUAUUAUUGCUGAUUCUUAUCCUAAAAUAAAGGACAUUGCCACUACACAUCCUCUAGAAUGACCAAAAAUAAAAAUACAGCAUCAAAUGGGACGACAUGGUGCCAACUGGAAUUCUCAUACCCUGCUGAUGGGAGUAUAAUGUGGUACAGUCACUUUGGAAAAAAGUUUGACAAUUUCUUAUAAAAUUAUACAUAAACCUGUACUAUGACCUAGAGAUUCUACUCCUGUUUGUUCAAAAGAAAGGCAAACAUCUGUCCACUAAAAGAUAUGUACAAGAAUGCUCACAGUGGCAUUAUUUAUGACGGUCCAAACCAGGAGAUAAUCCAAAUGUCUGUAACCAAGAGAAUGGAUAAAGAAAUUUUGAUACGUCAAUUUAAUGGAUUACUACUUAGCAAUAAAAAUAAUUAGCCAUGCUGGGCGCGGUGGCUUAUGCCUGUAAUCCCAGCACUUUGGGAGGCUGAGGCAGGUGGAUCACCUGAGGUUGGGAGUUCAAGACCAGCCUGACCAACAUGGAGAACCCCCGUCUCUACUAAAAUACAAAAUUAGCCGGGGUGGUGGCGCAUGCCUGUAAUCCCAGCUACUCGGGAGGCUGAGGCAGGAGAAUCACUUGAACCCGGGAGGUGGAGGUUGCAUUGAGCCGAGAUUGCGCCAUUGCACUCCAGCAUGGGCAAAAAGAGCAAAACUCCGUCUCAAAAAAAUAAAUAAAUAAUAAUUAGCCACAUAUCCACACAACAAUAUUGCAUUAUCACAGGUAUAGUGAUAAAUACUGUAUGAUUCCAUUUAUAUGAAGUUCAAGAACAGGCAAGUAAUCCAUGAUGAAAGAAGUACUUACCUCUGGGGGUGGCAGCAUUGACUAAAGAGGUACAAGGGAGUCUUCUGGGGCCUGGAAAUGUUCUAUAUCUUGAUCUGGGUGGUGGUUACACAGGUAUACGCGUGUUAAGAAAUCAUCAGGCUGUAUACUUAGUGUACUGUAAUGGCAUUACAC